GGGCCUUGGUAGCGCAGCUAACGCGUGAAGUUGACCGCCUGGGGAGUACGGUCGCAAGAUUAAAACUCAAAGGAAUUGACGGGGACCCGCACAAGCGGUGGAUGAUGUGGAUUAAUUCGAUGCAACGCGAAAAACCUUACCUACCCUUGACAUGUCUGGAAUGCCGAAGAGAUUUGGCAGUGCUCGCAAGAGAACCGGAACACAGGUGCUGCAUGGCUGUCGUCAGCUCGUGUCGUGAGAUGUUGGGUUAAGUCCCGCAACGAGCGCAACCCUUGUCAUUAGUUGCUACGAAAGGGCACUCUAAUGAGACUGCCGGUGACAAACCGGAGGAAGGUGGGGAUGACGUCAAGUCCUCAUGGCCCUUAUGGGUAGGGCUUCACACGUCAUACAAUGGUCGGGACAGAGGGUCGCCAACCCGCGAGGGGGAGCCAAUCCCAGAAACCCGAUCGUAGUCCGGAUCGCAGUCUGCAACUCGACUGCGUGAAGUCGGAAUCGCUAGUAAUCGCGGAUCAGCAUGUCGCGGUGAAUACGUUCCCGGGUCUUG
rnacentral:rRNA from 1 species